GUACCCGCUGAACUUAAGCAUAUCAAUAAGCGGAGGAAAAGAAACCAACAGGGAUUGCCUCAGUAACGGCGAGUGAAGCGGCAACAGCUCAAAUUUGAAAUCCGGCCUCGGCCCGAGUUGUAAUUUGCAGAGGAAGAUUCUGGUGAGGUACCUGCUGAGUCUCCUGGAACGGAGCGCCGUAGAGGGUGAGAGCCCCGUAUAGCAGGACGCCGAGCCUUUGUGAAUCCCCUUCGACGAGUCGAGUAGUUUGGGAAUGCUGCUCAAAAUGGGAGGUAAAUUCCUUCUAAAGCUAAAUACUGGCCAGAGACCGAUAGCGCACAAGUAGAGUGAUCGAAAGAUGAAAAGCACUUUGAAAAGAGGGUUAAACAGCACGUGAAAUUGUUGAAAGGGAAGCGCUCGUGACCAGACUUGCGCCGGAGCGAUCAUCCGCUCUUCUGAGCGGUGCACUCGCUCCGGGGCAGGCCAGCAUCGGUUCCGGCGGGGGGAUAAAAGCUCAGGGAAUGUGGCUCGCCUCGGCGAGUGUUAUAGCCCGGUUCGCAAUGCCCCCGCGGGGACCGAGGUUCGCGCGUCUGCAAGGAUGCUGGCGUAAUGGUCAUCAGCGACCCGUCUUGAAACACGGACCAAGGAGUCAAGGUUUUGCGCGAGUGUCUGGGUGUCAAACCCGCACGCGUAAUGAAAGUGAACGUAGGUGAGAGCUUCGGCGCAUCAUCGACCGAUCCUGAUGUCUUCGGAUGGAUUUGAGUAGGAGCGUCAAGCCUUGGACCCGAAAGAUGGUGAACUAUGCUUGGAUAGGGUGAAGCCAGAGGAAACUCUGGUGGAGGCUCGCAGCGGUUCUGACGUGCAAAUCGAUCGUCAAAUCUGAGCAUGGGGGCGAAAGACUAAUCGAACCAUCUAGUAGCUGGUUACCGCCGAAGUUUCCCUCAGGAUAGCAGUGUUGUUCUUCAGUUUUAUGAGGUAAAGCGAAUGAUUAGGGACUCGGGGGCGCCAUAUUGCCUUCAUCCAUUCUCAAACUUUAAAUAUGUAAGAAGCCCUUGUUACUCAACUGAACGUGGGCGUUCGAAUGUACCAACACUAGUGGGCCAUUUUUGGUAAGCAGAAAUGGCG
rnacentral:rRNA from 1 species